CAACCCCUGAAAUUCCCUUCCAUUGGCAGCUUUUUGAAUUGAAAACCUGGUCUUCCACAUUGCUUUGCAGUUUCUCACCUUUUUGCAGGGCAGCAGGAUACAAGACGGAGCGGAGACUCUGGACAGAUCAGGAGAAGGACUACCCAUGCUGUUCCUGAGCACAUAUGGUAACAGUCAGCUAUCUGUGGAUCAGGGUCCAACACAGGAAACAGACGAGAUAUUGGAAACAGCUCUGUCCAGCCAUCUUGAAGGUAGUGCCAGAAUGGACAGUACCUGAUGCAGACCACUGGCCUCGCCUGGGUUGGUUUACCCAUGCACAAAUCAAUCUGCAUGGUUAUACCAGAAUAAGAUAUAGAAUCUCAUUACUUCAAAAAGUAUACCUUCCUUGUUAGAACUUCAGUUCUUUUCAUCUACCAUCAAAACAAAACAAGAAAAGACUUUGGAAUAUAUUCUGAAGGCCAUAGUAAGUAGCUCACACACAGUGAUAUCUUCAGAGUACUUGUUGAUGAUGUACAUAGUCAAAGCAGCCAUCUGACUGCCAGGGGGAAAAUGUCAUGUAAAAUUUAAAAUAUGACUGGCUGUGUGAAAUAUUGAUAGGAAAAUCUUUAACAAUGACUGUUGUGAAAUAUCUUCCUCAAUCAUGCAUAUUUAAUAAAGUAUAAUCACUUUUAGAAUAUUCUUUGGAU
ensembl:lncRNA